rnacentral:rRNA from 1 species
AUGUCCGCCGCGGGGCCCAGGGUCGCCGGUGCAGCCCGCAGGCCGUCGUCCCCGAGGCCUCCGUCCGCGGGCGCUGGUGGGAGGGAGAGGCCUCCGUCGGCCGGCGCCGGGGGCAGGGAGAGGCCGCAGCCGACGACGCGGCGCGGCGACGAGGACCCGCGUGCGGCGGCCGACGGCAAGGCCUCCAACUCCAAGAAGCGGCUGCCGACCGCCGCGGCGGCCGCGAGGGGCGCGCUCCCGUCCAUGCUGCUGCGCCGGUCCGAGCUGCUGCGCCGCGGCGGGAAGAACGGGAACAUGCAGUCGCUCAACGUGUCGUGCGCCUCGGAGGCCUCCGACGACUCCUUCUGCAGCCGGGCGUCCACCGGCAGGAUCGGCCGGCCGGCGGGGGCGGCUGCCCGGCGGAGGGCGGCCGCCGGGUCGUCGGCGGGGCCCCCUUCCGCUAGGAAAGUGGCCACCGCUUUGCCGGACGGUGCAGGAGCAGCUGCUGCGGUGGCGCUGGGUUCGAUGAUCGGAGAGCCUACGGCGGCGCCGGGGCCGCCGAGGUGCCCCUGGGUGACCCGUAACACUGACCCAUGCUACACUGCCUUUCAUGACCAAGAGUGGGGAGUUCCAGUACACGACGACAAGAAACUAUUUGAGAUGCUUGUUCUGUCUGGUGCACUGGCUGAGAUGGCAUGGCCUGUAAUCCUCAGCAAGAGGGACGCCUUCAGGGAAGUGUUCAUGGAUUUCGAUCCUCUGCUGGUGUCGAAGCUAAACGAGAAGAAAUUCCUUGGGCCAUGUAGCCCGGCCAGGUCCCUGCUGUCGGAGCACCGGCUCCGAACCAUCGUCGAAAACGCGCACGAGUUACUGAAAAUCAUAGAGGAGUUCGGGUCGCUGGACGAGUACUGCUGGGGCUUCCUCAACUACAAGCCCAUGGUCGGCAGGUACCGGUCGCCCCGGGAGGUGCCGCUGCGGACGCCCAAGGCCGAGGCGCUCAGCCAGGACCUGAUGCGGAGGGGCCUCCGCGGCGUCGGCCCGACGGUGGUCUACGCCUUCAUGCAGGCCGUCGGCAUGGCCAACGACCACCUCGUCACCUGCUAUCGCCUCGACGAGUGCGCCGCCACGGACGGCGACCAUGGGAGCACCUUGGUGAAGGAGCAGGAGAUGAGCAAGAUGUGCGGGAUGAUGAUCGAGUGCGUCAGCCUGGAGAGUUCCAUGGCCGCCGCCAUGAUCAGCAUCUCGUAG